AUCCUGAGCAGAACUUUAUUUGUUUUAAUUUUGUCAUACAACAAUUAAAGAUCAACACUGUUAGAGGAAGGUGUUUAACAACUGGUUUCAGUUCAGCGGCAAAUGUGUUUGUAACUCAUUGAACAUUUUUGUCAUCAGGACAUCCUAGGAGGAAACUGUGUGCUCAACCCCUCCUUGUAUCCCUGUGUGCUGUGAGAGACUCUCUUUCUAUGAUGUAUCUUGCUAAACAUUUACAUCAUUGCCAUAUUAUUUAUCUAUGUGCCCCCUGCAAUAAAAUUACAGCUACAAACAGUCUCUUAAGGGGGCUACAAAUCAGCUUCAACUUACAUUUUUCAUACAGUAUAGAAUUCAAUAGAAGUCCUCAGUUUAAGGCACUCUAGUAUGUUACAAAACAGCUCAAGGUCAUAACAUUGUUUUUGUAUUCCCAAUAGCAGCACAUAUUGUCAGUAAUUGUUUAUUGGAUGUUUCUCCUUAUUAAAGGAACCAACAUCAAAUCAGUAAAAAAUAUCUUGUUUUCAAAAAUAAAUACAAAUCUAUAUGUGGUCAAGCAAUAGUAGAGUCUAACAUAUAGUGUACUCAGUACAGUAUAAAUUAUAUAUAAUUUACUUCUACUGGCCUGUGGAUCACACACCUUUGCACUUGUCGAGAAAGCAUCCUGUAUAGUAACAGUUGAAGUGUUUCAUGAAGUUAAAAUAUAAUUUUUGUAACCAGUGUAACAGUGAACUGUCAUUGAAGUGCACAUUCUCAGUGUUGAGUUGAGUGGUGUUGCAGACAUUGAACCAGGUAGGCUGCAUCCCUUCAGUUUCUAUAAAACUAGCUUAUUCAGCAUACACUGUUAUUAUAAUGCUGCAUUUCUUAAAACCAAGAUUAAACACAUAAAAUAACAAGACAUUACAUUGUGUAAAUCCACAAACAUGUGCAUAGCAAGACAGUAUAACCGAUAAAAAUCCAAAUCCACAUUUCAAUUGAGACCUUAACAUUUCUAAAAUUGGUAACGUAAUAAUAAAUAAUGUAAUAGACACUCUUUAAAAAUUGCUUUCCUGAAGUAACUGACAUUCCUUCCUGAAAGGCAUAAUGAUGAUAGAUCUACACUGUGCUUUAACUCUCAAACCCCCAAAGCAACCUCUAAACUUUACUGGCUAGCAGGCCAGUUUUUAACUGCUACAGUACCGUCACCAAUACACUAAAUAUGUAGUUGAAGUAAAAUUACUAUAAAUCAAUAAUACUAUUAUUAAUGCCACUACAGUCAAACGUUACGGCUUAAAAGUCAGUCAAUUUUCUUUUCAGUGUUAUAUACAUAUGUGCUGUAAAAAAAUUCAGUCUACUUCGUAUGUAGGAUGAACAUAUCUUUCAUUUUGCACUACACAUCCUUAAAGGUGAAGUGUGCAAUUUCUAUGUCACUAGCGUCGCCAAACGAAAUGCAAAAAUACCUUUUCCUGAACACUUACUCCAGAUGUUAUUGGUUGAACAAACAGAUAGUACCUCCAAAUGCACGCUCUUGGUUUAUCCAGUAUUACUAAUCAGCCUAAGAAUGGCAUAGUUGGGUCUCCUUACUAUGCUGAGGUUACA